rnacentral:rRNA from 1 species
GACGAACGCUGGCGGCGUGCUUAACACAUGCAAGUCGAACGGAAAGGCCCUGCUUUUGUGGGGUGCUCGAGUGGCGAACGGGUGAGUAACACGUGAGUAACCUGCCCUUGACUUUGGGAUAACUUCAGGAAACUGGGGCUAAUACCGGAUAGGAGCUCCUGCUGCAUGGUGGGGGUUGGAAAGUUUCGGCGGUUGGGGAUGGACUCGCGGCUUAUCAGCUUGUUGGUGGGGUAGUGGCUUACCAAGGCUUUGACGGGUAGCCGGCCUGGGAGGGUGACCGGCCACAUUGGGACUGAGGUACGGCCCAGACUCCUACGGGAGGCAGCAGUGGGGAAUAUUGCACAGUGGGCGGAAGCCUGAUGCAGCAACGCCGCGUGCGGGAUGACGGCCUUCGGGUUGUAAACCGCUUUCGCCUGUGACGAAGCGUGAGUGACGGUAAUGGGUAAAGAAGCACCGGCUAACUACGUG